GUAUGCAUAGGUCUAGAUUACUUAUAUAAAACAUCAAUAAAUGCUAUUUUAGUUUAUUCAUUAUUGUUCAACGUUCACAUUGUUUUUAUUGUUUUCUCAUAGUAAAUCAAAAUGAUUUUUUUUAAAGUUAAUUUAAUAACGGUUUCAAUUUUAGUUAUUGCGAUGUGGGCCAUACCAGCCACUAAAGCCGCGAGAAAUGAGGACUUUUUGAGAGAUUACUGCAGAGAUUUUCUUAAAAAAUAUUGUAAUUUUAA